rnacentral:ribozyme from 1 species
ACAGGUAAAAAGGCCACACAAAAGCGAAAAUCAAUAUUGGAAAGCGCUAAGUCACAAAUUCGGACUGGUCGACGAUGAACGACUUUUUGUUUUUCUGUGUCGUUCUUCUUCUUCUUCUUUGUGUG